GACGAACGCUGGCGGCGUGCCUCAAACAUGCAAGUCGAGCGGACGGAGACCGAACCGCAAGGGGAGGUUGAAGUUAGCGGCGAACGGGUGAGUAACACGUGGGUAACCUACCCUAAAGUCUGGGACAACGGCCCGAAAGGGCCGCUAAUACCGGAUAAUGUCUUCGGGUCGCAUGGCCUGGGGAAGAAAGCCGAAAGGCGCUUAUGGAUGGGCUCGCGUCCCAUCAGCUAGUUGGUAAGGUAACGGCUUACCAAGGCGACGACGGGUAGCCGGUCUGAGAGGAUGGUCGGCCACACUGGGACUGAGAUACGGCCCAGACUCCUACGGGAGGCAGCAGUUGGGAAUAUUGGGCAAUGGGCGAAAGCCUGACCCAGCGACGCCGCGUGAGGGAAGAAGGCCUUCGGGUCGUAAACCGUCUGUCAUCGGGGACGAAGAAAGUAGACGGUACCCGACGGAGGAAGGCCCCUCGCUAACUACGUG
rnacentral:rRNA from 1 species